UUGAACGCUGGCGGCAGGCCUAACACAUGCAAGUCGAGCGGUAGCACAGAGAGCUUGCUCUCGGGUGACGAGCGGCGGACGGGUGAGUAAUGUCUGGGAAACUGCCUGAUGGAGGGGGAUAACUACUGGAAACGGUAGCUAAUACCGCAUAACGUCGCAAGACCAAAGUGGGGGACCUUCGGGCCUCAUGCCAUCAGAUGUGCCCAGAUGGGAUUAGCUAGUAGGUGGGGUAACGGCUCACCUAGGCGACGAUCCCUAGCUGGUCUGAGAGGAUGACCAGCCACACUGGAACUGAGACACGGUCCAGACUCCUACGGGAGGCAGCAGUGGGGAAUAUUGCACAAUGGGCGCAAGCCUGAUGCAGCCAUGCCGCGUGUGUGAAGAAGGCCUUCGGGUUGUAAAGCACUUUCAGCGGGGAGGAAGGCGAUAAGGUUAAUAACCUUGUCGAUUGACGUUACCCGCAGAAGAAGCACCGGCUAACUCCGUGCCAGCAGCCGCGGUAAUACGGAGGGUGCAAGCGUUAAUCGGAAUUACUGGGCGUAAAGCGCACGCAGGCGGUCUGUCAAGUCGGAUGUGAAAUCCCCGGGCUCAACCUGGGAACUGCAUUCGAAACUGGCAGGCUAGAGUCUUGUAGAGGGGGGUAGAAUUCCAGGUGUAGCGGUGAAAUGCGUAGAGAUCUGGAGGAAUACCGGUGGCGAAGGCGGCCCCCUGGACAAAGACUGACGCUCAGGUGCGAAAGCGUGGGGAGCAAACAGGAUUAGAUACCCUGGUAGUCCACGCCGUAAACGAUGUCGAUUUGGAGGUUGUGCCCUUGAGGCGUGGCUUCCGGAGCUAACGCGUUAAAUCGACCGCCUGGGGAGUACGGCCGCAAGGUUAAAACUCAAAUGAAUUGACGGGGGCCCGCACAAGCGGUGGAGCAUGUGGUUUAAUUCGAUGCAACGCGAAGAACCUUACCUGGUCUUGACAUCCACAGAACUUUCCAGAGAUGGAUUGGUGCCUUCGGGAACUGUGAGACAGGUGCUGCAUGGCUGUCGUCAGCUCGUGUUGUGAAAUGUUGGGUUAAGUCCCGCAACGAGCGCAACCCUUAUCCUUUGUUGCCAGCGGUUAGGCCGGGAACUCAAAGGAGACUGCCAGUGAUAAACUGGAGGAAGGUGGGGAUGACGUCAAGUCAUCAUGGCCCUUACGACCAGGGCUACACACGUGCUACAAUGGCGCAUACAAAGAGAAGCGACCUCGCGAGAGCAAGCGGACCUCAUAAAGUAUGUCGUAGUCCGGAUUGGAGUCUGCAACUCGACUCCAUGAAGUCGGAAUCGCUAGUAAUCGUAGAUCAGAAUGCUACGGUGAAUACGUUCCCGGGCCUUGUACACACCGCCCGUCACACCAUGGGAGUGGGUUGCAAAAGAAGUAGGUAGCUUAACCUUCGGGAGGGCGCUUACCACUUUGUGAUUCAUGACUGGGGUG
rnacentral:rRNA from 1 species